rnacentral:rRNA from 1 species
GACGAACGCUGGCGGCGUGCCUAAUACAUGCAAGUAGAACGCUGAAGAGAGGAGCUUGCUCUUCUUGGAUGAGUUGCGAACGGGUGAGUAACGCGUAGGUAACCUGCCUUGUAGCGGGGGAUAACUAUUGGAAACGAUAGCUAAUACCGCAUAACAAUGGAUGACCCAUGUCAUUUAUUUGAAAGGGGCAAAUGCUCCACUACAAGAUGGACCUGCGUUGUAUUAGCUAGUAGGUGAGGUAACGGCUCACCUAGGCGACGUUACAUAGCCGACCUGAGAGGGUGAUCGGCCACACUGGGACUGAGACACGGCCCAGACUCCUACGGGAGGCAGCAGUAGGGAAUCUUCGGCAAUGGGGGCAACCCUGACCGAGCAACGCCGCGUGAGUGAAGAAGGUUUUCGGAUCGUAAAGCUCUGUUGUAAGUCAAGAACGAGUGUGAGAGUGGAAAGUUCACACUGUGACGGUAGCUUACCAGAAAGGGACGGCUAACUACGUG